rnacentral:tRNA from 1 species
AUGAACGUAGCUUAAAGUCAGAGCGGUCGAUUGUCAGUCGGAGAAGUACAGGUUCAAAUCCUGUCGUUCAUA